AUGUCAUUUCAAAGAGGACUCGUGAGUCUGUGAAACCAGGAGCUUUUAACCCUAUGACUAAAGCUUGAAAUUCUUCAGAGGAUGCCAUAGUCACUUAAUAGUGCUAAGUUUCUAGGAGAAGUAAGA
rnacentral:snoRNA from 1 species